UUGGGAGGCUGCCGUAUGCCGCCGCCUCCAUUGGCUCCGCUCCCCGGUCCCUCGCCCGCCCCAUCCGGGAGUGGGUCGCGCUCAAUCCCUGGCGGGAUCUUCCCCAAAGUCUGCCAGACCGAGCACACGCCUGCGCUGUGGCCGCUGCUUGUGCUUCCAGCGCCCGCAGGUCCCACACUCAGUCGCCCUGCGUGUGGAUGUGGAGUACGAGUGACUGAAAUGCUCCAAGGAUCCCCAUCCUGUGUUUGGUGUCAGUCUGGCAGUACCCUCAGAGCCUCUGGGUUUUGCUGUGUCUGCAGAAAGCACCUCCAGGAGAUCCCAUCCUCUAGCACUAAUGUUUCCACCAGCUUGGAAUUGGACUCCGGAAAGACCUCCGAUCUUCUGUCGGGCAUGGGAGUGUCGGCCCUUAAAAAGGACAAGCUGGGCAAUGAAAACACACCACAGGACCUGCUCGUGUCGUCGCCCUGCCUUCCUCCAAAACGGCAGAAGGUGAAGGACAACGAAAAGGACUUUGUUAUCGUGCGCCGGCCAUGGCUGCUCCGAGAGGCAGAGUCAGGUAUUUCUUUGGAUGCACUUCCAGAUGAAUUGCUUUUGGCAAUCUUUGCCUAUUUGCCCCUAAAGGAUUUGCUGAAAGUUUCUAUGAUUUGCAAGAGAUGGCGUCGACUUUCGUUUGAUGAAUCUCUGUGGCAGACUCUUGAUUUGACUGGUGGGAAUCUGCUGCCAGGAGUGCUAGGACAGUUGUUGCCUGCAGGUGUUACUGUGUUCCGCUGCCCGAGAUCUUGCAUUGGGGAUCCGUUGUUUAAAACAAGCAAUCUUCUUAAAAUUCAGCACCUGGAUUUGUCAAACUGCACAGUGUCUGCUGCAGAUCUACACAGUAUUCUUCGUCUGUGUGAAAAGCUGCAGAACCUCAGCUUGGAGGGUCUAGUGCUUUCUGACAACAUCAUCAAGAGCAUUGCUAGAAAUCCCAAUUUGAUACGACUAAACCUCUGUGGAUGCUCAGGGUUUUCUGCAGAAGCUUUGGAGCUGAUGUUGAGCAGCUGUUCUAUGCUGGAGGAGCUGAACUUGUCCUGGUGUGAAUUCACAGCCACUCAUGUCAAAGCAGCAGUCAAUCAUGUUACUUCAAAGAUCACCCAGUUAAAUUUAAGUGGAUACAGAGAGAAUCUACAAAUAGCAGUUUCUGCACAUGAAUUCUGAAAUACCAAAAUUAUUCUGCAUGUUGUUGAGCACCUUGCAAUGGCUUUUAGGUGGUAUCUGAACCACAGGUGAUGCAGUGCUUCUUGCAGACCAUGAAAAGAAGGUAAAAAAUUCAGUUUACAUCAGAAAAAAUGUAACUCUUUGUCAUAAGGAAAGAACUUUUUGUGGAUAAGAAUGGAGAUGCCUAAAGGAUUUGGUACUCUGAAAGGAUAUUUGAUGCAUUGAAAAUUUUUGCUACUUUUUCACUGUGUGUUAAGUAUUUCAGGCAGCUCACCAUUACUAUGUCUCAGUAGAUUUCACAAAAAUAUCAUUUGAAUUACUGUAUUCCUAAAUUGAUGGUUGAUGCAACAGAUUUCUAGGGAUAAUUUGCUGAAGUAAAUUUAUCUGUUUUGCUGAGGGUAAUAAAAGAAGUCUAUCUUCAUAUGCAGACUGUAAGUCUUCAUAUGCUGUAAGUCUUAAGGAUACAUUUUUCAGUUUAAAAAUUGUGCUUGAGUUGUGGGGUUCCAGUAGAAAAGAUAUAAAUGAACAUGUGUGGACAUGAGUAGGCUGUGAAAAGCAUGUCCAUCUUGUUACUGAAAGAGGGACUGAUUCUGUGUGACCUCUUUCAGAUGUGAAAACACUCGUGGGGAGAUGUCCUUUGCUUGUCCAUUUAGAUCUCAGUGACAGCAUGAUGUUAAAGCCUGAGUGCUUCCAGUAUUUUAAACAACUUGCAUUCCUACAACACCUGUGCCUUAGCCGUUGUUAUCAGAUAUCACCUGCUGCCUUAGUAGAGCUUGGUGAAAUUCGAACACUGAAGACUCUUCAGGUAUUUGGAAUAGUGACUGAUAGCUCCCUGCAGCUCCUCGAGGAAGCACUGCCUGACAUGAAGAUCAAUGGUUCACACUUUACCAGCAUUGCAAGGCCAACUGUUGGCAAUAAAAAGAGCCAUGAGAUUUGGGGAAUCAAAUGCAGAUUGACACUGAGAAAUCCUAGUUUCUUGUGAUCAUGUACAAUGCACUGGAUGCCAUGGACAUACUGUGCAUUGAAGCUCCUUAGGGAAAAAAGUGCUGGAGCACCUUUUAUCAUAGUACUGUUACUGUCUAACUUGGUCUUACACCCUAAUAUUGUUUCAUAAUAUUUUGUAUCAGUUUUUUGUACUUAAAACCUUUAGAAAUUUGAUGAUCUGUGAGAAAUUAUGGAAUAUUUCUUUCAGUCUUUCUUUUUUACAGGGGAUCUUUGAAAAAAAAAUAUUAUGAAACAAAUCACCAUAAUUAAAUAAUGUCAGCCUCUAGCAACUGUCUGCAGCUUCUGGAACAGCUUGCAGAGGUGCCAGACAUCUUUAUAAGGUUUAUUAAGGAAUUUGAAGAAUUCAGAAUGAAUACAUACUAAAUAUGUUCAACUGAAGGUACAGUAGGAUGAAUGACUCAAACUUGAAAACAGUAAAUUGGGGAUAUUUAUACAGAAGCAGCUAAGAAACAGCUCAAUACCUUACAAGUUAUGCAGCAUAAAGGAGCUAUAGUGAAGUGGGUUUUUUUAGGCCACAAAAGAAACUUUGGCCUUUAGUAGCCUUCAUUUUUAACCACAGUGUAAAAAGCCAGUUCAGAAUUAGCAUCUGUAAAAAUAGAUGCUGGUUAUCCAUUAUUUCAUGUUGUGGUCCUAGGUUUUCUGAUUACAGAAACUUCAUGUAGCUUCUGUGAGCCUGAUUGCAGAUAAAACUUUCUCCAAGAUCUUCCAAUGCAACUGAUAAAUUGGUAGAAGGAGGAGGGCUCAAAGAGUUCUAGAUAUGACCAAAAACAAGAACCUGGGACUACUCUGUAAGAAUGCUAAAUGGGAGAGAUGCUUUGGUGCUAUCAAGAGACAAAUUUCUCUUUUAUAUUAGUUUGCUUGUAGUAGCACUUCAUGUAUUUGUAUCAUUAACCACUAUUGUCUAGUGUUGAUUUUUUUUUUUUUGAAGUCAUAAGAGAAAUUGAGUAACUGUCCCCAAAGGAAAAAAAAAAAACCAAAUAAAGUAUAGGGACAGGUAAUGACUUUAAAUGAACCUUUCAUUUGCAUCUGUUACCAGAGUCAUCAUGCAUAAGCGUAGAAUGUUCCAGCAGGUUUUUGCCUUAGGAAUUACCACCUAAAAACUUGGAGCCUCUGUAGGACAUAAACAUGCUGCUGUUUUUCCCAUGAAUGCAGUAAGCAAUCAGCUGAAUUUAUUCAUGGAUGUUUUUAAGAGUAGCUGAUGUAUUACUGUAGGCCUUUGCAUAGAUAUAACUUUUCCCAUUGCAGUCUUGAGGAAAAGCAUUCAGGAAUGAAUAACUGGUAGUGCAGAACAUAUUAAUUAAUGUGGAAAGGUUGUAUGAGUACUAGAAUUUGAUAUUUAACUUGACUUUCUAGAAUAUAGUAAAUAAAGCAUUAUCUUGCAAUCUAA